rnacentral:rRNA from 1 species
UACGUAGGGUGCAAGCGUUAAUCGGAAUUACUGGGCGUAAAGCGUGUGUAGGUGGCCGCGCAAGUCGGAUGUGAAAGCCCUGGGCUCAACUCAGGAAGUGCACCCGAUACUGCGUGGCUCGAGUACCGGAGAGGUUGGUGGAAUUCUCGGUGUAGAGGUGAAAUUCGUAGAUAUCGAGAGGAACACCUGUGGCGAAGGCGGCCAACUGGACGAGUACUGACACUGAGACACGAAAGCGUGGGGAGCAAACAGG